UGCCAGACUCCUACGGGAGGCAGCAGUGGGGAAUAUUGCACAAUGGGGGAAACCCUGAUGCAGCGACGCCGCGUGAGCGAUGAAGUAUUUCGGUAUGUAAAGCUCUAUCAGCAGGGAAGAAAAUGACGGUACCUGACUAAGAAGCCCCGGCUAACUACGUGCCAGCAGCCGCGGUAAUACGUAGGGGGCAAGCGUUAUCCGGAUUUACUGGGUGUAAAGGGAGCGUAGACGGCAAUGCAAGCCAGAUGUGAAAGCCCGGGGCUCAACCCCGGGACUGCAUUUGGAACUGUGUAGCUGGAGUGUCGGAGAGGCAGGCGGAAUUCCUAGUGUAGCGGUGAAAUGCGUAGAUAUUAGGAGGAACACCAGUGGCGAAGGCGGCCUGCUGGACGAUGACUGACGUUGAGGCUCGAAAGCGUGGGGAGCAAACAGGAUUAGAUACCCGCGUA
rnacentral:rRNA from 1 species